rnacentral:rRNA from 1 species
CACUCCUACGGGAGGCAGCAGUGGGGAAUUUUGGACAAUGGGCGAAAGCCUGAUCCAGCAAUGCCGCGUGAGUGAAGAAGGCCUUCGGGUUGUAAAGCUCUUUUGUCAGGGAAGAAACGGUGAAAGCUAAUAUCUUUUGCUAAUGACGGUACCUGAAGAAUAAGCACCGGCUAACUACGUGCCAGCAGCCGCGGUAAUACGUAGGGUGCAAGCGUUAAUCGGAAUUACUGGGCGUAAAGCGUGCGCAGGCGGUUUUGUAAGUCUGAUGUGAAAUCCCCGGGCUCAACCUGGGAAUUGCAUUGGAGACUGCAAGGCUAGAAUCUGGCAGAGGGGGGUAGAAUUCCACGUGUAGCAGUGAAAUGCGUAGAUAUGUGGAGGAACACCGAUGGCGAAGGCAGCCCCCUGGGUCAAGAUUGACGCUCAUGCACGAAAGCGUGGGGAGCAAACAGGAUUAGAUACCCUGGUAGUCC